AUUGAACGCUGGCGGCAGGCCUAACACAUGCAAGUCGAACGGUAACAGGAAGAAGCUUGCUUCUUUGCUGACGAGUGGCGGACGGGUGUGUAAUGUCUGGGAAACUGCCUGAUGGAGGGGGAUAACUACUGGAAACGGUAGCUAAUACCGCAUAACGUCGCAAGACCAAAGAGGGGGACCUUCGGGCCUCUUGCCAUCGGAUGUGCCCAGAUGGGAUUAGCUAGUAGGUGGGGUAACGGCUCACCUAGGCGACGAUCCCUAGCUGGUCUGAGAGGAUGACCAGCCACACUGGAACUGAGACACGGUCCAGACUCCUACGGGAGGCAGCAGUGGGGAAUAUUGCACAAUGGGCGCAAGCCUGAUGCAGCAAUGCCGCGUGUAUGAAGAAGGCCUUCGGGUUGUAAAGUACUUUCAGCGGGGAGGAAGGGAGGAAAGUUAAUACCUUGGCUCAUUGACGUUACCCGCAGAAGAAGCACCGGCUAACUCCGUG
rnacentral:rRNA from 1 species